rnacentral:rRNA from 1 species
UGGGGGAUAUUGCACAAUGGGCGAAAGCCUGAUGCAGCGACGCCGCGUGGGGAUGAAGGCUUUCGGGUUGUAAACCUCUUUCGCUAUCGAACAAGGCCCGCUUAGGGUGGGUUGAGGGUAGGUGGGGAAGAAGCGCCGGCUAACUACGUGCCAGCAGCCGCGGUAAUACGUAGGGCGCGAGCGUUGUCCGGAAUUAUUGGGCGUAAAGGGCUUGUAGGCGGCUUGUUACGCCUGCUGUGAAAACGCGGGGCUUAACUUCGCGCGUGCAGUGGGUACGGGCAGGCUUGAGUGUGGUAGGGGUGACUGGAAUUCCAGGUGUAGCGGUGGAAUGCGCAGAUAUCUGGAGGAACACCGAUGGCGAAGGCAGGUCACUGGGCCAUUACUGACGCUGAGGAGCGAAAGCAUGGGUAGCGAACAGG